AGAGAGAUAAUUCGGCGGACGCCAUCGUUCGCAACGAUGAGGUCGUCGUUUCGAUCCCGACUAGCUCCACCA
rnacentral:tRNA from 1 species